AUUGCAAGCAGUGAUCAUUAAUUUUGUGUUGUGCUAGAGAGGCAGAGGAAAUGAAAACAAUUCAGAAGCAGUAAUCAUCAGUAAUCAUCAGUGAAGUUUUACAAUGCCCCUAAGAUGCGUAUACAUGCUGUACCCAAGUUCACAGAUAUGUAAACUGAGGUGUGGGUAUGUAAAAUGCUUUGCCUGUGGCCAUGCAGUGAGUUUACAUGGACUUCUGUCUGGUGUAGUGAGGGACUGACUCCCAGUCUGCCACCCUCAGUGCUGGCUGACAGACGGGGCUGACGGAGUGAGUGGGAGAACCUCAGCUGGCACCUCUGCUGUAUCAUGAUUCACAGCCCUUAAUCACUGUUAAACAAAUCAAAAUGAAAUUACACGUAAAGAGCUGGGAACUACAGUCUGAAAAAUGCAAACGUUCUUCCCCAUCAAAUCUAAUUAGAUUUGCCAAAAUCAGAGUGCAUUGAUCUGUGAUUCAAACAGUAUGCUGAUAACAAAUUUUCAUGAUAGACAUGGUUAUGAAGCUACUUGACUAGACUAUGAAUUAGCCCUUUCAGCAGGAGCUCUCAGCACAUUUUCUCAGCGUGCUUUUCCACGGUGAGCUUUUAAUCCAAAAAUCAACACACAAUCCCAUUGUUUAAGGUUUGCUGGGCUCUCUGCUGAGCAUCCAGCAGAGAAGUGAGGCAGGCAGCCGAGUCGUGUUGACUAUCAAUCUCUGUUAAAAUCAACACACCAUCUUUAGCCACCCAGCUAAGCGCACUGCGGUACGUGCUGGGAAGAGACCUUUCAACUGCUAGGCAGAGAAACUAAUUUUGUUGCCAUGCUGGAUAGCUUCAUCUCAGUGACGAUGGGUAAAAAAAGCAGCGCUUUGUGUAAAGAGCAUUACAUAAACAAUAAUGGAGUCUCAUUCUGUAAAAUUAGUUCUUCGUAACUACAACUUGCCUUCCCACCUGUGUCCAGUCCAGCAUUCAGAGAUGUUUAAUGUGUUUUUUCACUCAGAUGGUGGGGUUAUGUCCACGAUGCGUUUUCCUAGUGCCAAGUGAUCACAUCAGGUGCAGUGAAUGGAGAUGAGAAAGUCAGAGCAGAGUAGUCUUAAGAGGAAGUCUUAAGGAGGUCAGAGCAGUUCCUGGAGUGUUAGGAGAGACUGUGGGACAGGAUUUUCCAUUUGUGCUCAGUUUCAGCUGAGCUUUGCAUCCACUGACAUUGGAGAGCUUCUGAAAACGUGACUCCCCUGAGCUAGAGUGCAUCAGAGUGUAAAGUUACUCAGAAAGUGUGGCAGAGGGCAAGCAGGGCACUUGUAUCUGUCUGUACUCCGGAUUUGCCCUGUCCCUGCUAUCUUUUCAUCCAGAAAUUGUUAAUGCUUCAGGAGAAUAAAACCACUGUAGUUUUUUUGCCUCAUCUUUACAAGAGAUGAACAUACCUAAGUGCCGCCAGAAGAAGUGAGACCUACGGAAUCAUAGAAUCAUUUAGGUUGGAAAAGACCACUAAGAUCAUCUAGUCCAGCUGUCAACCUGUCAGGCACUCAGCGCCUCUGACAAUUGACAUGCUCUGGGUUAAACCAUGUACUACAACCACAUGUGACCCCAUCCCUGGUCACAACCAGGAGACUGAGCACUGACACAGGUUGCCCACAGAGCGUGUGGAGACUGCAUCCUUGGAGAGCUUGGAAUGCACCCUGAACAUGGUCCUGAGCCACGCUCCCAGUGGGGAUAAGAAGAAAGCACAGCUUGUCCAUAUGUAGGCGGUCAGAAGUGGAUGGCAGCAGUAUGGUAUUGCUGUAUGGUCAGAGAAAAAAAUGAGGUAUCAGUUAACUCUCUUCAUAAAGCCAAGUACGUGGAGUAGCAGCACACUGUGAUCACUGCCUUUCAACCUACACUGUGGAUAAGCCUCACCACAGAUCACAGACUCCCCACCCACACAAGAGUUGUCCACCAGAGGCACUGCAGAAAGAACACCCCCAGCAGAGACAAGGCAGGUUUUGAACCUAGUUUGCAUGGAAACCUCAAGGGGAAGCCAGGGUUGGUUCUCAGUCAGCAGAGCGCUUUUUCAGAAGCUCCACAAACAUCCUUUAAAACAAGGUAAUAGCAAAACCGUGAGCUGGGAAGUAAAUCCUUGGUCACUUCCCAAGCAGUCUGGCUGUAUUAGGAUGCCAUAUCCUUCAGGUUUGUUCUGAUAAUCCGUUGGCAGAUGACACAGAUCAAUCCAAAAAUGAGGUAAAAAAUCCAGCGUAUUGAAGGAUUGUUCAUCUCUGUAGGCAAAACAACCACCUCUACCUUCCGUUUUGAAUAAAUUCAGAUGCUAAC
ensembl:lncRNA